rnacentral:rRNA from 1 species
AGUGAACGCUGGCGGCAGGCCUAAUACAUGCAAGUCGAACGGCAGCACAGUGGAGCUUGCUCCAUGGGUGGCGAGUGGCGGACGGGUGAGGAAUACAUGGGAAUCUGCCCAGUCGUGGGGAUAACGUAUGGAAACGUACGCUAAUACCGCAUGCGCCCUUCGGGGGGAAAGUCGGGGACCGCAAGGCCUGACGCGAUUGGAUGAGCCCAUGUUCGAUUAGCUAGUUGGCGGGUAACGGCCCACCAAGGCGACGAUCGAUAGCUGGUCUGAGAGGAUGAUCAGCCACACUGGAACUGAGACACGGUCCAGACUCCUACGGGAGGCAGCAGUAGGGAAUAUUGGACAAUGGGCGCAAGCCUGAUCCAGCCAUGCCGCGUGAGUGAAGAAGGCCCUCGGGUUCGUAAAGCUCUUUUGUUGGGAAGAAAAGCAGUUGGUUAAUACCCGAUUGUUCUGACGGUACCCAAGAAUAAGCACCGGCUAAC